rnacentral:tRNA from 8 species
GCCUUGCUAGCUCAAUGGAUAGAGCACCGACCUUCUAAGUCGAUGGUUGCAGGUUCGAGUCCUGCGCAAGGCGCUA